GUUUUAAUAAUUUAAACAAAAUAUUAGUCUUGUAAACUAAAAAUAAGUAACACUUUUAAAACA
rnacentral:tRNA from 1 species